UACGGAGGGUGCAAGCGUUAAUCGGAAUUACUGGGCGUAAAGCGUGCGCAGGCGGUUGUGCAAGUCAGAUGUGAAAUCCCCGGGCUCAACCUGGGAAUUGCAUUUGUGACUGCACGGCUAGAGUGUGUCAGGGGGGGGUAGAAUUCCACGUGUAGCAGUGAAAUGCGUAGAUAUGUGGAGGAAUACCGAUGGCGAAGGCAGCCCCCUGGGAUAACACUGACGCUCAUGCACGAAAGCGUGGGGAGCAAACAGG
rnacentral:rRNA from 1 species